UGCGAUCAUACCAAAGACUAAUGCACCGGAUCCCAUCGGAACUCCGAGUUAAGCGCGCUUGGGCGAGAGUAGUACUAGGAUGGUUGGCGAAGUCCUCGUGUUGCA